rnacentral:rRNA from 1 species
AGUGAACGCUGGCGGUAGGCCUAACACAUGCAAGUCGAACGGAAGCACAGUAAGCGCUUUCUUUUACGGUUGGCGAGUGGCGGAUGGGUUAGGAAUACAUCGGAAUCUACUUUUUCUUGGGGGAUAACGUAGGGAAACUUCCAAUAAUAGAGCAUACGCCCAACGGGUGAAAUCAGGGGUUCUUCGGACCUUUAGCGUUUGUUUGAGACGAUAUCGGAUUAGCUAGUCGGCGUGGUAAAGACCCACCAUGGCAACGCUUCGUAGCUGGUCUGAGAGGAUGAACAGACAUACGGGAAGUGAGACACGGUCCAGACUCCUACGGUAGGCAGCAGUGGGGAAUAUUGGACAAUGGGCGCAAGCUUGAGGGAGCCAUACCGCGUGAGUGAAGAAGGCCUUCGGAUCGUAAAGCCCUUUUGUUGGGGAAGAAAAACAGUAGGGUUAUAUCUUGAUGUGCUGACGGUACCUAAUAAGAAAGCAACGGCUAACUUCGUG